rnacentral:lncRNA from 1 species
CCCUGGAGCCCAGGUGGCUUGAGUACUGGGGUGUUCUCUGGGGCCACUGAGGCACAGUUGCUUGCCACCUGCCCCUCUGCCUGCCCAGUGGCCUUCUGGGCCUUUUGCUCCGCCUAGGCCAUCCUGCCUUCUCAAUCCUACUGCCUUGGUACCGCAUGGGUCCCAGACCCCACUUCCUUGCGUGUGUUCUGCUAACCGCCCAACCCCAACGCACUCUGCACGCCACAGGAAUUCAUGCUUUAUCUCCGUCGCCCCUCUCCAAGCAGUAACUAAAUUCCUCCUUCUAUGCUCUGUAGUUGUUUCAAUAAACUUCAUUUUUUUUCAGAACAGUUUUAGGUUCAUGGCAAAACUGAGCAGGAAGUGUGGAGAGCUCAUGUACACUGUCCUGUCCCCCAGGCAACCCCCGUCUGACAGCCAGUGCCACAGUGGGGGGACCUUUGUGACAGUCGACAAACCUGCACUGUUACAUCACUGUCACCUAAAGUCUGUAGUUACAUUGAUGCUACUCUGGGCACUGUACUCUGCGGAUUUUGACAACUGUAUCACCAACUCUUGUAUCCACCAUCAUGGUAUCUUUCGGAUUCAACCCCCCCCAAAAAAAAUCCUUUCAUCCUAUUUGUCCCUCCCUCUUGCCAACUCCCAGCAACCACUGACCCUUUUACUGCCCUCACGGUCCUGUCUUUUCCAGAAUGUCACAUACGAAUCAGACGGGAAAGAAGAAAGAAGUCUUUGCUUUCUUCUUGGGAUGCACACUGGUCUUCGCCAUGGCUUCGGAAGUUGGUCUCCAGUCCCUUCAGGCUUUCCACACAGACUCACACCAGUGACUCUGCAGUGAGCUUCCAGGCUUUCAAUCUUUGAGUGGCACUGGAUGCACUGGCUUUCUAGUGCACAGGCUGCCAUUCUGGAUCCUUUCACAGGUUCUGCACAUGCCCAUUGGGACUCCUCCCCUUCGGAUCCUGUGAGCCUGCCUAAUAAAUCCCUCGGAAAAUUAUAAUUAUGCAUCUGUUUUAGAUUGAUUCUGCUCCUCUAGUGAACCCUAA